UUUCACUGCCAUGCAGUGCCAGCCCUGUAAGGCUGAAGAUGUGCCAGCAUUAGAAAUAAAAAGGACCUUGUUCUGUUUCAACCUCAGCCUUGCCCAGCAUCACACACUGACACUGGGAGGUCUUCCACGAACGUGUGCCACAGGCCCUGCUAAAGCAGAAGCUACAAUCAACAACUCCUAAAUGGAUCACAGGGGGCUGAAGAUCUUCUUUGCUGAAAUGCAGUCAUGAGACUCCCGCUUCAGGGCUGACAUUACCUGCUGCAGAAGCUUAUCUGGAAAUGACUAAGAUAGGUCCAAUGGUCUGACAGUUUUGAUGCAGUCUGGGAAGUAUGUUAACUGCAGAGCUGCUGAACCAAACUGUUUUGCCAACCUUCCCUCAAGAACCUGUUUGCUACAGUUACAACGCCGUGGUCAACCUGGCACUGAGCAGCAGUACAAUGGACUGGGGAGCUGCUACGUACAAAGAUCACUUCAUACAUUAAUGGCAAAGCAGGUGCAUGUUUCACAGCAGUGGCAUAUAAAGAGCUCAAGCCUGACACUAACUUUGUCAAGCAGACUUGUAACACUCGAGGAAAGAAUGGAACUGGAAAAGUAUUUUAAAGGCUAUGAGGAUCGUCAAAUAUAUCACACAACAGGUAAUUAAUUACCUACAUUUCCCAUGCCUGCAGUGAAAUGAGCUCCAGUGCUCAGUUCAGCCAAUUACCUCCAAAAGCUUCUGCACACAGAAGACCAGGAUAAAAUUCAGCAGCCGAGCAGAGUGGAUUUUCUAGCACCAUCAGGGGUUUAAUAGAUGCCUGAUUAGCCUGGGCAGUUUAGGUAAACUGAUGAAAGGAUCCUAAAGGCUGCUGGAACUGGCUUGAGAAAGGAAGAAAACAGAAGAGAGGGAGAUUAUUUAAUUGAAAGAAAUAGGAUGGGCAGAAUGACUCUGCUUGUUCUCCUUGCUCCUGGAAAAAGGGGACUUUGAGCUUUGUUGCAUCACUCCAACUUGGAAGAGGAAUGUGUGACUCUGA